AGAAAUAUAAUGACAAAUAAUUAAGCUUCUAACUUAAUAAAUAGUGGUUAAAUUCCAUUAAUAUUUCUA
rnacentral:tRNA from 1 species